GACGAACGCUGGCGGCGUGCUUAACACAUGCAAGUCGAACGGAAAGGCCCUGCUUUUGUGGGGUGCUCGAGUGGCGAACGGGUGAGUAACACGUGAGUAACCUGCCCUUGACUUUGGGAUAACUUCAGGAAACUGGGGCUAAUACCGGAUAGGAGCUCCUGCUGCAUGGUGGGGGUUGGAAAGUUUCGGCGGUUGGGGAUGGACUCGCGGCUUAUCAGCUUGUUGGUGGGGUAGUGGCUUACCAAGGCUUUGACGGGUAGCCGGCCUGAGAGGGUGACCGGCCACAUUGGGACUGGGGUACGGCCCAGACUCCUAAGGGAGGCAGCAGUGGGGAAUAUUGCACAAUGGGCGGAAGCCUGAAGCAGCAACGCCGCGUGCGGGGAGACGGCCUUCGGGUUGUAAACCGCUUUCGCCUGUGACGAAGCGUGAGUGACGGUAAUGGGUAAAGAAGCACCGGCUAACUACGUG
rnacentral:rRNA from 1 species